GGGAAGGGAAAUGGUGAAAAAAUGUGGUGGAUUGCCAUUAGCCAUUGUUGUACUUGGAGGGUUAUUGGCAACAAAGAAGACACCAAGGGAGUGGGAGGUAGUGCAGAGAAAUAUUAAUGCACAAUUCUUCAUGUGGGAACAACAUCAUCAAUAUGGAGGAGUGUAUGGGAUAUUAGCAUUGAGCUAUCAUGAUUUGCCUUUUUACCUAAAACCAUUCUUUCUCUAUUUUUCCCAAUUUCCAGAAGACUGGGAGAUUCACAAGAGGAUGUUAAUUCGGAUGUGGAUUGCUGAAGGCUUUGUGCCACGCGUGGAAAGAGGAAGAGAAGAAACAAUGGAAGAUGUAGGCGAGCAAUAUUUGGAAGAGCUUGUGGGCAGGUGCAUGAUUCAAGUGAGUCAAAGGGAUCACACGGGAAUAGGCAUCAAAACAUGUCGCGUUCAUGAUCUGAUGCGAGACAUGUGUAUUCUGAAAGCUAGAGAGGAGAAUUUUCUUGGGAUUUUUGAGCACUACCGAAAGAAUAUUGUGGCGCGAAGAAUUGCUAUACAUCCUGAAAUAUCCCCAGAAUUUGCUGGACAGUGCUCUGUACCGUUGCAGCAAGGAAGCAAUCGGGGCCUUCGUUCUGUUUCUUACUUCCUGGAAGAGCAAAGGUAUUGGUUGACUGUUGAUCAAAGAAAUCUCAUCUUCAAGGAUUCCAGAAUGCUGAGAGUAUUGAAUCUUAAGGGUGUUUAUAUCGGAAAUCUACCAAAUGAAAUUGGUGAUCUGAUUCAUCUGAGGUAUCUUGGAUUACGAAAAACUGAAUUAUCCUCGGAAACAUCAUUGCCAAUGUCCAUAGGUAAGCUGAGGAGCUUAUACACCCUUGAUGUACGAGAUAAUCAAUUAGGAAGACUGCCUGAUGUAGUGUGGACGCUAGAAGAUUUGAGACAUUUACUGAUAGACUUGCAUAAUAUUCUGGGGCAUUGUCAGAUGGAUACAUUAAGAAACCUGGAGACCUUGAGGUGGACACACUGUGAGAAUCUUGUUCGGAAAAAUGCAAUGCAGAAUUUGACUAAUAUUCGAAAUUUAGCAAUCGAUUUCAGGACAAGGGAAGAAAUUGAUGGGGUUAUGAAAUCUCCAAUUUUUUCAAAAGGUACUCUGCGUUCUUUGAAUAUACUGGCAAGGGAAAGCUCAUUUCCAAGUUUGGAGCCACUUUCAUGUUGUCGAUCCUUGAGGAAGCUCGAGUUGCGUGGAAAGAUACCAGAAAAUCCAAGUUCUCACCAUCACAACUUGGAAUUUCUACCCGCAUGCCUCAAUAAGUUAAUUUUGGGUAAUUCUUGGUUAAAGCAGGAUCCUAUGAGUUUUCUAGAGAAGCUGCCCAAUUUGAGGUUUCUAUACUUGGAGGAUAAGUCAUUCAUGGGGACUAAAAUGGUCUGCUCUACACAUGGGUUUCCUCAACUUGAGAUUCUUAAACUUGAAUGGCUUGGAGUACAAGAACUGAAAAUAGAGGUGGGUGCAGUGCCAUGUCUCAAGAUUUUGCAUUUAGAAAAGCUGCAGGAAUUGAAGAUGAUCCCAGAAGGAAUAAAAUUUGUCACUACCCUCCGAGAACUGAAAGUCAUUAACAUGACAGAAGCAUUUGCAAGGAAGAUUCAGGUCAUAGAUGGAGUUGAGGGAAAGGAUUUUGAAAAGGUGAGACACAUUCCCUCCAUUUCAGUUUCCACGACAGUCUAACAUUACUCGUCUGAGCCUGAGAUCAUCAAGUGCAAGGUAAAAAUUAUUUUGUUUUUAUUUUUAAGAUAUAGACACUUUUGUUACACAAAUUGUACCUAAUUAGUAAUUUUAUCAAAUAGUUAAAUGCUUAUAUUUUCAAAGAUAAUGUCUUUCAAAAAUCAAAAUUAGUUUGUAUAUAUGUGACUGCCAAUUAUCUAUUAAAAAGAAUGUUUACUGAUCUAAAGAAUUAUUAGUUUUUCGAUUAUACCUUUUAGUUUUAAAUUUUUAUUUAAUUUAUAAAUCAUUAAUUUUAUUUCAAUUAUAUCAAAUUAACUGUGAUGUGGUCUAUAUUAUGCUGACAUGAUAUUAAGACCACAGUUGUUAAAACUGCAAGUUAACUUGUACAAUUCUAAGAAUUAUAAUCAUAUAAAUUACUCAAAAACAUAUAUAAAAUCAAAAUCAAAUAAAAUAGAGAUAAAAUCAUGUUUUCAAGUAGUGAAAUCAAUAAAAGAUUGAUACGAUAAUACAACUUUAUGAUUCUAUGAUUUUAAAUAUUCAGAAUUUCGAAAGUUAAAAUAUUAUCUUUUAAUUUAUCAAAACCAUUAUCAUUUAUUUAUUUUAACACAUAUACAUAUAUAUGAACUCUUUUGUCUUUCUAUUCCUCAGUCAAAUUGACUUGAAAAUUUUGUUUUUUUACAGGUGGUUUGUUUUUGGGUAAACUAUGAUUCUUGACUUGGAAGUUAUGGGAAAAGUCUUACUCAACAGGGCGGAAAUGAUUGUGAGCAGCUCCAACUGCUUAGACUGUUGCGUGGAUCAAGAAGAGAAAGGUGAUGUCUUUCUGUUCAAAUUUUGUGGAUUACUUGAUUUGAUGCAGGAAAUGUUCUAAACUCAUUGAAUUGUAUGUUUAUUUUAACUUGUUCCUGGGUAACUUCAUUUGACGCUUGUGGGUCUUAUUGAACUGUUGUGAUAUUUUUCCUUUCUUUUUGUUUUUAAUAAACUUAGAAAUUCAGAUUUGAUCUUGUAAUUUUCUGUAUGUGAAUUACUGUACUACUGUACUGGCCCAAUGGACAAUGGCAACUGCUGUGAUCUUUGUUUGUUUGGAUUUUAAUCUAGUUUUGGUUCAUCUAGUUCACAGAUUGAGCCUAUUUUAAGCAUGGAAUACGCAAUGAAAACCCAUGAGGUAGUAUCUCAUUCGUUUUCUUUUCUUUUCUUUUCCAUGAUUGAUUGCAGGAGUCAUCAAAUUGCAAGUUCAAUGAUUAUGCGUCUAUUUUAUAAUCUAGAAAAUGAGAAAUUUAAAAACCUUCAUAAUUCUCUAUUUUCUCUAAUUACAAAUUUUGUUUUCUUGCUGGAUGAGAUUUGGGUAGGAUUGGUGAGAAAAUUAUUGGAAAUUCUCCUAGCUUUGUUUUGUUAAUCCAAAGUGAAAGUGCCAUUACAAUUUCCAAUAAAAUAUGUAAAAACUAGAGACACUCAAAUUCUACCUCACACAUAAUGAUAGAAUAGAAGAAAUUUCCCCCAGAAAAAAAAAAUCCAAGAAAUUAGAAAAGAAAGAUCAAAAGCAGUUUUCUUCCAAGAUUGAGUGAAUAACCUUAUUUUUUCUUCCAAGAGGCCAAAGCAGGGUCUUCCUUGCAAAUGAAGCAGUUUUCGCAUUCCAGUACUGAUUCUCCUCAUCAAAACCGGAAUCUACAUGCAUUUUCCCAUCCUCCAAUGCCAAUCUCCGAAUUAGCACCCGCUUGCAUCACCAUUCCUAUUCUUCACCUUCGAAUCACCAUCUGGGACAACAUUUUUACUCACUGAAAAUCGAAAGAAAAUAGCCUUCUUGAAGAAUCCCCAAUUGAUUCCUACUUCUGCUUAUCCUUGUCCCUUCUAAGCCAAAUCUUUGAUUUAGAAAAGUUCUCCCUUUUAAUGCGGAAUUCAAAGCAUAAAUACUUCACCAUGGAAGUGAACAAGAAAAAUCUUCGCCCCUUUUAACAACUCUAGAUCUUUCUCAUGUUUACUUGAGGAAAAUUCUUCAUCUUCUUCCUCCAUAUCUUUCCAGCUGAGAGCCUGCGAUUUCUCUGUUAUUG
rnacentral:misc_RNA from 1 species